ensembl:lncRNA
CAGAAACCGAGACAAAUCACUGCGCGCCACUGCCGCUUCGGAGCAUCACGUCGUUAUGCCCCAAAAACACAACGGGGGAAGGAAAGGCCACCGUGUGUCCCCCUCCCCUCCCCCCCCCCCCACGCCAUGGGACACAGCCCUGCACCCAACGCAGCCGUGCUGUUUGUUUGGUGACUGUUCUGCUGUGUCUAUUUUUAGCUGGUGACGCCCGGGGUAUUUCGCUUCAGGAUGUCCGGUCUGAGCCUCUUUCUGGGAAUCCCAUGUUCUCUAAUUGUAAACAGCCCCACUCAGUUGCUGCAAGCACCGAGAGGCCCCGACUCAUACAGCGGGGCUGUCAGGUGUGAGUCAAACAGGAAGCUGCUGCCGCUUCCACAAGCAAAGCGUCGGGUGUGAAAAAGUGCUCCAUUCACACAGCCCCACAGCCCAGCCCAGAUCCCACAGCGUGGGGUGCCUCUGGAAGUGGGACCGGCUCCGUCCCUCCUCCAAAAUGCUGUCCCUGGGAGAAAAAGGGCUCCCGAGGGCCUCGCGCGUGGAUGUCGUUGCAGUGGUGCAAAGGGAGAGGGGAUGGGUGAGAUUGGGACGGGAUGGGAAGGGGAUGAGGAUGCUGAAGGAAUGGGAUGGGGAUGCUGAUGAGGAUGGGAUGGGAUGGUGAUGCCAAUGUAGGAGGUGCAGAGGCACAAGAGGGGACAGGAUGGAAAUAGGGAGCAGUUUUAGCCCCAUCUCCCACCCCGUGGGGCUGAGCUGAAGCAGCUGCCAACUUGGCUCAGAAACACUGACAGGGAGCAGUUUGGUCCUCUGCUAACAGCAGCCUGCUGCUGCCCCUGUGCAUUAACCCAGCCUGGGGUGACCCAAACACAUGUUCCCUGGGCCUUAGGAGAUGGGCAUCCAGGUCUGCAUCACCCCAGGGCCCAAGCACUGUGCAAAGGGAUGGGGUGUAAGGGCAUAGGAUGCCCUUACAGGAGAGGACCUGCCACAGUGACCACAACUAUUGCAGCAUGCAGGAUAGGAAGGCACUAAAAUGUGUGCCCUAAUUUCACUGGGGCCACAAAGAGCUGCAGCAGCACCAGCAGCCCUUUGCACCCCACCAUCUGAGCCCUCAGAUUCCUGCAAGCAGCAGCGAUGGCACCACGCUGCUCCCAGGGACCCAGCAGCAAUCCUCACAGCUCCACUGCUCUGAAGGUCCCAAAUGUCAGCAGUGCAACAACAGAGACAGCAAAAUCCUCCCUUGUGCUCCUCUGAAAUUGCAGCAUCACGGAGCUUGGUGACCUCUGCAUUGGAAGCAAUUUUGCACAGGGUAGGAAGGUCAGAGCCAACACCUGCAGCGCUGUUACAGGAGGCUGAUGCUCCUCCAGCCUCCCCAGCACCACAAACCUGGCGCACCUUGCAGCCUUUUGGGUCCCUUUGGGACAUCACACUCCUCAGCCAUCCCCCCGCCCAUCCCUGCCCUCUGCAUGGGCUCAAAACCCAGUGAGGAACUGAGCCAGCUGAGCAGCCCAUGGUGCUUUCACGGCUGAGGAGGGGCAGAGGACAGUGCUUACAGAAGGGUAAGGAUGGGUAGGAUGCUGUAACGUAGCCUGUAGGAACCCAUCCACACCAAACAUCCCCACGGACCUCAGCACUGAGCUCCCCAAAAGGAGCCGUGCGCGGAGCACGGUUGUACCCAUCCCUUAUCUGACUCAUUUCAGCAUCUCAGGGGAAACCCUGGCAUUGAUAAACAGCGCUCUGCUCUCUGCCUCCACAUUCACCAACCGAAAUCUGGAGUCUAUUUUUAACCCUCUGACACCCACAGCCGGGAGGGAGCCGGCAGCUCCCCGCGCUCGUGCCGUUGUUUACCGGGUGGGUGAAGUGACUGCAGCACUGGUGAGGUAUCGAGCAAAGUGAGACCAAAACAAGAGUGCUGAUGUGUCAUGCCACCACUUUCCAUGCUCGGCGCCUGCACUGUGCCCCCGGAUGGGGUAUGCAAAACCAGAAAGCUCCCAUGCUUUAAUUUUCCAGCACAUCCCCAGAUGAGUGUGCUGCUCAGCCUGCUCGUGGUCCACCGCCUGCUGGGGGGGGCUGGGCUGCAUGCAUGGCCAUGGAUGAAUGGGGAAAAGAACCUAAGGAGGAGAUGGGUUCAUCCUGCAGCACGGAUGUGGCAUGAAGGCUGCCUGAAUCCAGCAGGGCGGGCAGAGCUGCCACUGCUCGGAGCCUUCAUGGAGCUUUUUGCACGCUGCUUGUGCACGGGGGAGCGGAUGCUUUGUGGUCAGGGCAGGACACAGUGUGCUUCCUCCCGUUCUGGAGGAUCCAAGAGCAAAGCUUCCAGCUUUCCCUUGGGGAAACACCUCCACUCUGACCACUGCAGGAUAGAGAGGUCUGGUUGUAAUUCCUGCCUGAACAAAGGCUGCCUUGAACAGCAGCGUCCCAACCCCACCGCAGCACAACACCUGGUGCUCCCUUCCCAAAGCCCCCACACUCUCUGCAAGGCUUUUGGUGACCGCUGACUCCAGGAUGGCUUUAGAAUUGCUGGCUGGUUCCUGGCACCACAACAAGCAGCUCCUUUUGCUCUGCUCUCUGCCCAUCCCCAGCUCAGCUGGGAGGCAUCGCAUCACCCCGGUCUCCUCAUCCAGCCAGGAGCCUCACAUCCAGCAACACAACCUCACCUAGGAGACAUUCUCUCCUUGGGUUUAACGAUGGAAACCAUCUGCUGUUGCGUUGCUCAGAGCUUCACGCAGACUUCUUGCCUUCUCUCUGGGCACCAACUUUAAAGCUCCACCUUGCCUCCCCAGCAGCCCAGAAAUAACUCAGAAGACACAAAUCCAUCUGGUAGCCCCAGUUGGUCUCCAUUUCCCCAUCACAGAGGGGGCAGAGCCAUGUGCCUGUCUCCGAGCUGCCGGUCCCUCUCCGGCUCUUCCUGCUCUGCUGCAGCGUUGUGCUGUAAAACCUUCAUUUCCUGACACGCAUGGGAUGAGGCCAAGGGGUCGUGUUUUGGACAACCUGCCUUUUCCAUGGCAACUGGCAAUGAUGUCAGCGACGUGCAAUGAUCGGAAGGGGCCGGGGGAACGGUGAGCUCUCCAGGAACCAGGCAGGAGGGGCUGCUGUGGUGGUGUCCUGGGCUGGAGGAGCCCUGAAGGCAUCUGCCCUCCUCCCAGUCCCAUCCCUCCAUCCACCAUGCUGCUCCAUUCACUGCCAUUGCACAACGCAGAGCAUCCAAUGCUCUCCCCUACAUGGGUGUCUGCAGGACGUGUCUGUCCCGUGGCUGUGGGGUUCUGAGCUCUCCCAUUCCCUCUGUUCCUCCCCAUCACAAACCCCCUCCCUCGAAGGGGGCCCUUUUACAACAGCAAAGUAAUUAAAAGCUCCAGCAGAUGAGGACACCGAUGGCCAGCAUCAGAUUGAAUGCUCCCACACAGCCAUGUCUGUCUGUCCACCUGUCCAGGCUUGCUGUGGCCGGAGGCAUCUGCCGCCACAGCUCUGAGCACACUGCUACAGCAAAGUCCUGUCUGGGUCAGCUCUGAAAUACCAACAAACACACAGAUCAAAACCACCCUCCUAUGCACAGAGUUGCCAAGGGAUCCCCAUCCCAGCUGCCUUUGGUACAACUGGAAGUCCUAUGGACCUCUUUUCCACCUCAAAAGAACCUCUCCAGGUGGGAAGCAUCAUCAGCUCUGUCCCCAUUCAUUAUGCUAUACGGACUGACCUGGGCGUGCUGCUGCAGCCAGAAGGGAGCAAAGCCAGAAGAGCAUUGCAGAGAUGAGAAGCAAGAUUCUGGGAAGCACAAGCCAUGCACCCACAGCAGAGUUCUCACACAAAUUUAUUGGGUAAUCAGUAAUAAUCACCAGCAUUCCCACAGAGCACUUAUCUGCCUAAAAGUCCCAGCAAGGAAAGGAGCAAACAGGGCAGGCUUGGUCCAGCUCCCUGCUUUAACUCUGCCCAUGACAGCAAGUUGUCCAGGUGACCUGGUACAAAUGUACCCUCCUCAACAGCAAAUUGCAUCCGGAACAACCCAUAGGCAUCAGCAGAACAGCAGGGAGAGGCAAAUGGGGUGAUCGUAGGCAUGGAUCUGCACCAAGCGGGUCCAUGAAAGCAGAGGGAUGCGCUUGUGCUGUUGGUGGUAGCACAGAACUGAUGACAAACACCAUCCAAACAGUGGCAAACCUCACCCAAACAGUGGGAAACACCACCACAGUGGUGACAAACACCAUCACAGUGUGACAAACACCAUCAAAGCAGUGAUGCUGCCUUGCCUCCGUAUUGGACCUCAUUGGGAGACUUCAGCCAAAUGUGGGGAAAUGGCCCCACCGGAGCCUAUGGGAACCCAACAGCAUUGGGGUGGGGAAAGAGAAAACAAAACAACCCCACGAGAGGACUUCCAAAAACGCUGCACGAAAAGUGAACACUCAGCAGAGCGAGGUUUCCUGCGCAGUGAGAGUUGGCCGCCGAGUGAACAGGAAAUCACUGCUUCCUGCAUGCAGAGGAAGUGCCUAUCUAAUGCCUGUGAUCAAAAACAAACAUCGCUUCCAUUAAACAAACAAAGGGCCUAAAAACUUCAACAGCUCGCAGCCCAGGUCAGCUCCAGCAGCAGGGGGAUAGCGGCCAAAAAUAAGAAGCUGGUCACCUUGAGAAGGGCCCUCGUCCUCUUCCCUGCGUGGCAAUGUGGUUGCACUGCGUGCAGGAGGCAGUGGGGGGUCGGUGAGCCCCAUCUGUGUCCCCAGCUCUGCUCUCACCCCACAGCAUGGAGGGGAUGGGGGUGGGCACCAACAGUGACCGCAGUGCUUGGGUUUGGUAAAGUGUUGCUCGGAUGCCCUCUCGACCUUCUCCAGGUGAACAGUGCUGGGGCUCUCAGCAUUUGCCCAUCAGGACAUCCAUCAGCUCUGCACCCUCCAUAAGGAUCUCUCCAGCAGUUCCCAGUCUGCCUGGAACUGGGGAACACAGCACUGGGCCCAGUGCUCCAGUCAGCCUUUGGUCAACCCUUGGUCAACUGUUGGCCAACAGGGUUACUAUCGGCCUUCUGGCCAUAGGGGCACACUGCUGGCUCAUGGUCAGCCUUUGGUCAGCCAGCUGCCCGUGCUCGGUCUCUGUGCCUUCUCUUGGAUUUGUUUUGAGAUUUCAUUUCAUCUCUAGAAAUUCCAAACAGCUCUAGAAUUCCCUUCCAAACCGCUGCAGAGAUUCUCUUUGUUCGAAUGCAGAAUCCCUUAUCUUCAGUAUAAUGAAUUCAGGCUAUGGGGAUAGGAAUACUUUCUUACUCCAGAGAAGGACUUACAGACCCCGGGCUAUAAAUCACCCCCGUGAGCAACACAGUCGUGAGGCUCUGCUCAUCUCAGGGCUGGAGGACGCUGCAGGCUGCGCAGCGCCCAGGGACCUCGUGCUGUUAUUCCAGCUUGCUGCAAGCCUUUUGUUUUUGGACAAAUCCCAGCUGGGAGAUUGAUGUGAGGAGGCAGAGCAGGAUCCAGGUGCUGCCCGGCCAUGCUGGGGAAUGGAUCUGUGCAGAGUCCAUCCCCUGAGUUAUGGGCUCUGGGUGUCACCGAAUGCUGCACGCGUGCUGUUUCCCAGACUUAAAGCACAGCCAUGGAGAGGUGGAGGAGGUGGUUUUGCUUCAAGCCCAAAACAAAGAGUGGGGGUUUUUCCAGCCCUGGCUGAGCCCGAAGCUCCGGCAUCGCUCAUUCUGCACACGUCUGAUGCUCCAAACCGUCCUGGCUGGAAAAACCCUGCACUCCCAGCACGAAGCUGAGCACACUAAAAAGAAACAAAGAGGCCGGGGCUGACGCAGGACGGCGUGUUUGAAAGGCAGCUCUCCUCCGCAUUGCUCACAGCAAGACGAGAUGAGAAAUGUGCUUCAGGAACAAAGGAGGGCAAGCAGCAAACAGGGCUGACCCGUGGGGACAGGGAAAGGACAUGGAGACAGGGAAAGGACACGGGGGCAGCACCAUGCACGCCAUCUCCUUGCACCCCCCACCCCUCUGCACCCCCCACCACCUCGCUCGGCCCUCUCCUUGCUGUGGGUUUGCACCAGCACUGCAAAGCCCAUGAUGGCUUUUGCAGACCCGCAUGCAUCCGCCAGGCCCAGCACAGGGCAGGACGCAGCAGCUUUCUCCUCUGUGCAUUUUGCACUCGGGAGAUGCCAACGCGGAGAGCAGCAGAUCCAACCGCAGGCUGAUGGAAAAAAAAUGAUUCCAGCAUCACCCAAAGCCCCGCAACGGACAGCAAAUACGAAGGGUAAGGGAACGUGCACCGGGGCCUUCCUGUGUGGCCACCACACAAAAUCUAUUACUGAGCAGUUUGGCCAGUGAUAUUAAAACCAUCAGGUGCAGCCAGCACGGAUCUGCUGAGUGCUCACAGCACUGAGGCUUUUGGCCUGGUGCACCUGGUUUGUUAAAGAAAUAAUUACAGUUCCCCCAUUUCCUGCUCUGGAAAGAAAACUUCCUAACUAAUCAUAGCCAGUUCAUAUGCAUUUAAAGUGCAUUCAUUCUCCUAUGCAACCACAUAACACGAGGCCGUGUCCGUGCAGGAGGAUCUGCCCAUGGAUGCUCCUUUAAACGCCAUCUGCUCCUUCCUGAUGCAGCGCUGCAGCCCUAUGCUGGCGGAUCGAAGGGCUGCUGAGGCCGUUCCAUCCCUGGCUGGAAAAUCCAUGCAACAUCCCUGGAAAGUUGCUGGCUGCUGUGGAAGUGGCGGCCAAUUUCCUCAUUGUGAAGGUGCCAAGAACAGAGAUGAACUCCCGGAGGCUGCGACGGAGGGGGCUGUGGGCACUGAGCUGGGAAAGAUGGCAGAAGGAGCAGUGAGGCUCUCAGCUCCUCCCAGAAAUCAACGAGACUCAGUGAUGCCUCACAUCCAAGGGCUUCGUCUCCAUUUAUACGAGCACUCAGCUCCUGCUGGGAGCACAGCUGUCCCGGGCAGCACGGUGCUCAGGGGGUGUCCUCCUGCUGCAGGCUCUGGUCGGUAUCACAGCUGAUGCUGCUUCAUUCCAUCUCCACCUUUACUUCUGAGUUGUGAAGCCCAAUGUUAUCCCUCAAUGGGGUUCAGCUGAGUGUGGCAGUUUUCUGUUAGCUGAAGGACUCGGAUCCUCCCUGGAGCGGAGCAGCCCUUCCACGACCACCCAACCCAUCACCCAUCCCCAAACCCCUCCACCUACAGCUCCCAUCCCAUAUCCAGGCACCCCAUAGCAUUGCCCAGAGCUGCUGCAUUGAGCAGAACUCCCUAUGAGCAAAUGCCACAAACACAGACGGGAUGGGGGGAAAACAUGCAGGGUUGCAUUGGACCAAGAAAUGUGAUUUUAAGGAGUCCAAAAAGCUCAGCACGCAUUGAGGCUGCUCUGACUCAGCGCUCUGAUUGACUUUUGCACAACAGGUUCUGCUCUUUCAUACCUUGUGUGAUAAUUCCCCAGCCGUAACACCCAGAAUCACACCUCAUACCAGGAGGUUUCUCCUUUCAGAGCCUCCCACUGCAUGCUCAGGGCACAAAGCCCAUCUCCUCAGCCUCACAUCUGCACCUGAUGGCACAGGCAUUCCUUUCUUCUGUUUUUUACCCCCAAAGAAUUCAGCUCCCAUGAGAUUAAAGCACACUGAAGGCUCAGCACUGCCCGGGUACCCCGUUGCAUGGUACCCCAUUGCAUGGGAGAAGUGGGGCACAUCGCCCUGCCUCCCCACACCGGUGGCCAAAGCCUGUCCAGAGCUGCUUUCCUACAGCAGAUACAACCACUCAGCACCUGACCCAAUUUCCUGCUCUCAGCUGCAAUCUUCCAGUGUUUUUUAACACGAAAUCCCAUUGUUUGCACGUGCCCAGGUUUACCCUGUUAACCCAUAUCCCCCUCCGUCAGUCUCUUUUGUCUGUUUUCCAUCAGCUGCUCCCAAAGCCCACACCAGGAGGAUUCCACUCAUCCAGAUUAGAAGCACAAUCCAAUAUCCCUCGUGGUUGGGCUGAGUGGUUGCCAGAAGAGCCUCUUCCUCUUCCUCCUCCUCUUCCUCCUCCUCUUCCUCCUCCAGCCACCACCAGGUUUGUCCCCUUCACCUGGCCGGAUUCCUGCUGGCGUGGGAUCCACCCUUACUGUGGUUCUCCCCCACCUCCCGUCUGUGUUCCAGAGCAGGAAGCAGCAACGUGGGAAGCUCACCUGUAAUAAAGCUUUGAGGCUUUCUUAUCUCAUUUUGGCACAGAGGAUUACAACAGGCUUUGGGGGCUGCUCUUUUCCAUGCCCGGUCCCAAAGGCCUCAGACACCCCGUGGCAUUUCCCGAACUCAGAUACUGUUUCCUACGAAUCAGAUUUCAGCACAGACAGCAGAUCCUGGAGACAGAUGGAGACGAGGAGGAAAAUCCCCACACGAGAGCUCAGACAUCGACUGCAGCGUCUGGCUGAUUGGGCUGCGUGCUCUGCUCGGCCCUUUGCAGGGUCUGCAACACCUGUGGCACUGCUGCCCUCUGCCCCUCUGUACCACACGGCUGCACAGCCCACGUGCAUCACCUGUCCUUAUUCUGCACGCUGCAUUUCUCCCCACUCCCCAAAGUAAGGUGAGGGUAAGGAAUGCGCUGCGAGCCACUCAGAGAGCAGAGGAGCAGACACGAGCAGGACAGGGGCUGCUCUGAUCUCAGCAUCCUUUGGAGUUACAGCCCCUUCUCCUUUGUUCCCAUUGACACCUGAGAGCAAAACAGCAGCAGAGGCAAAGAGAGGACUGCCAGGAAACAGCGCUGCAGCCCCAGCCUGCACUGCUCCCCACGGCCCCACGUCACCAAUCCAUGCACAGCAGAGCUCCCUGCUGCUCCAGCCCAUCUCUUGCUUUGCUGCUUAAAACAGGAAAAGGCAGCAAGCAGAGCAACGCGGGCAGCAGAGGAGGGGUGCAGCCCCCCACACUGUGCAGCCCCCAGCUCCAAAACCACACCUGGCACCGCAGGACGGCCCUCCCGCAGUGCAGCUCAUGGGAACACGGUUGCAUCACGUUUGUUUUGCUUUGCUUUGCUUUGGAGAGGAGGAUUCCUCCCACCGUGUUGAGCAGCCCGUGUCACACGGCUGGCCCAGAGAGAAGUUUCAGUUCUUUACAAAAAAAAAAAAAAAGAAAGAAAAAGAAAAAGAAAAACCCAACAACCAAACCCUGCCCGGGAAUGGGAAUGUGACGCUCUUCCCCCUCCCCCGGCUGCAGCCUUCCAAGUUUCUAUGAGUCAAACGUUUGCAAUGUGUUACCGAAAUGUUACCAAGCUGGAAUGCGGCAUCCGAGAGGGUUUCGCUAAUAAAACUUCUGUUUGUUGGCUGGGAGAAAAGUGACACCGGCACAGAACGCCGCUCUUCUGCCUUUUGCUUUGCCCAUCCGGGUGCUGAGAGAGAGGAACCCGACGAGAGGGCAUCGAUGUCCCAAUGGGAAAUGGCGCUGCCAGGGGAGAUGCUGAGGGAAGUGGUAAAUGCGAUGCUGCAGGUGGGGAAUGGAGGUGAAACGUCGGGGCUGGUCCUGCAGCACGGUGAGGAUGGGCCCAGAGCUGAGAGCCCGAAGCCCUUCAGGCAGGUUUUGGAUCAGGAAUUGGGUCAGAUUUUGGAUCCUCGCCCCGCAGCUCCUGGGAUCAUUGCCGCUUCAUGGGAUGGCUGGGUUGGAAGGGACCUCCGUCCCAAAAUGGGGAUUCCAAUGAAGACAACUGAGCUCAAUUCUCUACAGAGUUCUAGGAAACCCAGUGCUUCCCAGUGUCACAAAACACACAGCAGGUGGGAAUUAGGUGAUCUCUGAGGUCCCUUCCAACCCAACCAUCCUAUGGUUCUUUGAUGACGAGAUGGGUUUUGGUUUUUGGGUUGGAGAACCACCACUGACCUGUCCUGGCUAUUUCCAGCCCGUGCGUGCUUUCUCCUUUGAUGCCAUUGGAACAACAAUGGUGGAAAAGAGGGAGUACGAUGGACCUCCUCCCACCUCCAAAAACCAACUCCUGGUUAAGCAGGUCGUUGUGAGACCAGGAACAGCCCAGGUCUACAGAGGCAGAAGUUCAGUUUGGCUGUUCCAUGGGAAAAUGCCCAUUUAUCCUCAAAAUGGAAGCAGCAACAUUCACAUUCAACAGAACGAAAGGGAACUUGGGGGGAUCCAUCAGACUUCUGUGGGUUUCUCCCCAAAUACAGAGGUGUUCCAGGCAGCUCCGUCCUGAAGGAGCCCUGCAGUGUCCCCAUAUGGGGUCACUCCUGCUCUGCUCGGAGCCAAUCCUGAGUUGCAAACUUUUCCCCCGUUGGAUCCUGGCUUUGUGUGCACGUUGAGGUGCGUGGAGUCCUUUCACACAGCAAAGUGCCAAAAGCAGAGCUGUCCAAACCCAGAGAUAAGGGACGGGGCCUUGCUUUAACAAAGAGGCAUUUCCAUAUCUGAGGAAGUGAGGCAAUUCUGCCUCGUUAAGAAGGCUGACAAAAGUCUCCUAGGAGGAAGAAAGACAGCAAAAGAUUAAAAUCUGUGCAUUUCAGAGGAGGGCAGCCAGGAACGCUCACGUCCCAUCAGCUGCAGGCAGACAGAGGCCGCGUGGCACCUUCCAGUGCUGGGAGUGCUGGGGGUGGUGGAGCUCAGGGGGUGCCUGGAGGGGAUGGAGAGACCCAGAGAUGGAGCAGGGAGUGAGCAGAGCUUUCAGAGCUGCCCUGGGACCCAUCCAGGGAAGGAAAGCCAACGCUUCGCUGCUUUGAACUCAGCCGUCGUCGUGCAGACGUUGAGCCGCAGUGCUCUAAUCCGUGCUGGCAUGUUCCAAGAGCACUUCUUCGAGGCUUUAUCGUGAAGAAAGCAAACCUCUCCACAUUCCAGCAGGCUCCUGGUAUCCCCAGCGAUGCACACAGUGCUCUCCAAGGGGAAUCUUCACGUGGCCUGCUCGUGUUAUUUGCCAUCCGCACGGCUGCUCCGUGCGCACACCCUGCUGCACUGAAGGGUGCACAUGGAGACGAAGGAUUCCAAAGUUCCUGCUAAUUUGGAGGGGAGUGUAGGAUAGCAAAGGGGAAUGCAAAGCCAUCCAUGGAGAGCGCUCACACCGUGCAGACUGCUCUGCAUCCAGCAAUGAAACGGCUCCGGAUGGGCUGCGUUGGCCUCAUUCUGGCUCUCUCUAUUGAAGACAAU